rnacentral:rRNA from 1 species
UACAGAGGUCUCAAGCGUUGUUCGGAUUCAUUGGGCGUAAAGGGUGCGUAGGCGGACUUGUAAGUCAGUGGUGAAAUCUCUCAGCUUAACUGAGAAACUGCCAUUGAUACUGCAGGUCUUGAGUACAGAUGAUGUUGGCGGAAUAUGACAUGUAGCGGUGAAAUGCAUAGAUAUGUCAUAGAACACCGAUUGCGAAGGCAGCUGACAAAACUGUAACUGACGCUGAGGCACGAAAGUGUGGGGAUCAAACAGG